rnacentral:tRNA from 1 species
UGGGGUGUAGCUCAGGGGUAGAGCACGUGUUUCUCAGGCACAAGGCCCUGACGGUUCAAUGCUCAGCACCCAAA